rnacentral:rRNA from 1 species
GGGCGUAAGGGCGCGUAGGCGGAGAUAAAAGUCAGAUGUGAAAUCCCGAGGCUCAACCUCGGAACUGCAUUUGAAACUUUAUCCCUAGAGGGUAGGCGGAGAAAACGGAAUUCCACAAGUAGCGGUGAAAUGCGUAGAUAUGUGGAAGAACACCGGUGGCGAAGGCGGUUUUCUAGCUUAUUCCUGACGCUAAAGCGCGAAAGCAAGGGGAUCAAACAGGAUUAGAUACCCUGGUAGUCCUUGCUGUAAACGAUGUAUACUUGGUGUAACUGGACUCAACCCUAGUUGUGCCGGAGCUAACGCGUUAAGUAUACCGCCUGGGGAGUACAGUCGCAAGGCUGAAACUCAAAAGAAUUGACGGGGACCCGCACAAGCAGUGGAGCAUGUGGUUUAAUUCGAUGCAACGCGAAGAACCUUACCCAGACUUGACAUGCAGUAGACCGAUCCAGAAAUGGGUCUUUCUUUCGGGACUGCUGCACAGGUGCUGCAUGGCUGUCGUCAGCUCGUGCCGUGAGGUGUUGGGUUAAGUCCCGCAACGAGCGCAACCCUUAUCAUUAGUUGCCAACACGUAAAGGUGGGAACUCUAAUGAGACUGCCUGGGUUAACCAGGAGGAAGGUGAGGAUGACGUCAAGUCCGCAUGGCCCUUAUGUCUGGGGCUACACACGUGCUACAAUGGUCGGUACAGAAGCAGCGAAGCCGCGAGGCGUAGCAAAUCCAACAAAGCCGGCCUCAGUUCAGAUUGUAGUCUGCAACUCGACUACAUGAAGACGGAUUUGCUAGUAAUGGCGAGUCAGCAACAUCGCGUGAAUACGUUCCCGGGUCUGUACACACCGCCCGUC